rnacentral:rRNA from 1 species
UACGGGGGGGGCAAGCGUUGUUCGGAAUUACUGGGCGUAAAGAGCUCGUAGGGGGUUUGUCGCGUUGUUCGUGAAAACUCACAGCUCAACUGUGGGCGUGCGGGCGAUACGGGCAGACUGGAGUACUGCAGGGGAGACUGGAAUUCCUGGUGUAGCGGUGGAAUGCGCAGAUAUCAGGAGGAACACCGGUGGCGAAGGCGGGUCUCUGGGCAGUAACUGACGCUGAGGAGCGAAAGCGUGGGGAGCGAACAGG